UACGAAGGGUGCAAGCGUUACUCGGAAUUAUUGGGCGUAAAGGGCUCGUAGGCGGUUUGUCGCGUCGGGAGUGAAAACACCGGGCUUAACUCGGUGCUUGCUUUCGAUACGGGCAGACUAGAGGUAUGCAGGGGAGAACGGAAUUCCUGGUGUAGCGGUGAAAUGCGCAGAUAUCAGGAGGAACACCGGUGGCGAAGGCGGGUCUCUGGGCCGAUACUGACGCUGAGGAGCGAAAGCGUGGGGAGCGAACAGG
rnacentral:rRNA from 1 species